rnacentral:rRNA from 1 species
GUGGGGAAUAUUGGACAAUGGGCGCAAGCCUGAUCCAGCCAUGCCGCGUGAGUGAUGAAGGCCUUAGGGUUGUAAAGCUCUUUCAGCUGGGAAGAUAAUGACGGUACCAGCAGAAGAAGCCCCGGCUAACUUCGUGCCAGCAGCCGCGGUAAUACGAAGGGGGCUAGCGUUGUUCGGAAUCACUGGGCGUAAAGCGCACGUAGGCGGAUCGAUAAGUCAGGGGUGAAAUCCCGAGGCUCAACCUCGGAACUGACUUUGAUACUGUCGACCUUGAGUCCGGGAGAGGUGAGUGGAACUCCGAGUGUAGAGGUGAAAUUCGUAGAUAUUCGGAAGAACACCAGUGGCGAAGGCGGCUCACUGGCCCGGUACUGACGCUGAGGUGCGAAAGCGUGGGGAGCAAACAGGAUUAGAUACCCGGGUAGUCC